ACGGCUCAGUAACACGUGGACAACCUACCCUUAGGACGGGGAUAAACCCGGGAAACUGGGUAUAAUACCCGAUAGAUCUCGGCUGCUGGAAUGCAUCGAGAUCUAAAGCUCCGGCGCCUAAGGAUGGGUCUGCGGCCUAUCAGGUAGUAGUGGGUGUAGUGUACCUACUAGCCUACGACGGGUACGGGUUGUGAGAGCAAGAGCCCGGAGAUGGAUUCUGAGACACGAAUCCAGGCCCUACGGGGUGCAGCAGGCGCGAAAACUUUACAAUGCCGGCAACGGCGAUAAGGGGACCUCGAGUGCCAGGUUACAAAUCUGGCUGUCGUGAUGCCUAAAAAGCAUUGCAUAGCAAGGGCCGGGCAAGACCGGUGCCAGCCGCCGCGGUAACACCGGCGGCUCGAGUGGUAACCGUUAUUAUUGGGUCUAAAGGGUCUGUAGCCGGCCGGAUAAGUCUCUUGGGAAAUCUGGCAGCUUAACUGUCAGGCUUUCAGGAGAUACUGUCUGGCUCGAGGCCGGGAGAGGUGAGAGGUACUUCAGGGGUAGGGGUGAAAUCUUGUAAUCCUUGAAGGACCACCAGUGGCGAAGGCGUCUCACCAGAACGGACCUGACGGCAAGGGACGAAAGCUAGGGGCACGAACCGGAUUAGAUACCCGGGUAGUCCUAGCCGUAAACGAUACUCGCUAGGUGUCGGCCACGGUGCGACCGUUGUCGGUGCCGUAGGGAAGCCGUGAAGCGAGCCACCUGGGAAGUACGGCCGCAAGGCUGAAACUUAAAGGAAUUGGCGGGGGAGCAC
rnacentral:rRNA from 1 species